rnacentral:lncRNA from 1 species
UUACGUUAUAUUUAGACUUAUAGCUUCAAUGAAACUGGUUCAAUUUGCCAAAGGAUAGAAUUGUUAGGACGUUUGGUAUAUCCAGGACUCUUGCUCAAGAAUGAUAAUUAAAAUUUUCUAAUUGUGCAAAGUAUAGAAACAUAUCUGAACUUUCUCAUGAGCAUAAACUGAUGAACCAGGUUCUUCAAGUGAAACUUCUCUUGAUUGUGCCUCAAAUGUCAAAAUAGAAAAUUUAUAAGAGAUUAGUGAAUCGUAUAAACACAUGUCACAAGAGUAUACUAUUUACAAUAUGAGACAAAGUAGGAAUUAGUCUAAUAUUCACAUGAAUUAAGUACUCCUAACCAAUUUUUUUUCAUUUUUUUCAUUUUUUUUCAUUGUGCAUUUCUGAACUGGACCUUUUAGGUGAUCUUAAUCAUCCCUAUGAACUACAUAAAAAACAAAGCAUGAGAUUACCUCUCCUUGGUUUUCUUAAGCUUUGGCAUUUUCAGAAGACCCAGGUUCAUCUCCUUCACUAGCGGAGAUGUACUCAUCAGAUUCAGAGCUAGAGUUGGUCUCCUUUGCUGAGACUUCUUUCUUUUGAC